UCCUGCUGCUCCGGACGCCCUCCCCGUCCUUCAAGGAUGCCGCCUCCUCCUUCUCCUACUCCGUGUCUUCCGCCAAGAGGCGCUGCCGCCGCUGCCGCCACUGCCGCUCCUCCUCCUCACUGUCGUCCGGCUCCACCGAGAGCGUCUCUUACGGCAUCCCCACCAUAUGCAAGGACAAGAGACAAAAGCGAUACCACGAGGACAUAUUCGGGGCGGUGUUUGCGCACGAGAACCAACGAGACACGAGACCACGACCCGGCUUCGAGUCUCCAAAUCCGCUCACGUUUUAGCUGUAUUUUUGCACAUUCGCUCCCCUUUUCCGAUGUCACGGGGAGCCAAAUUUGUCUUUCCCUCCAAAAUUUUGGAGGUGAAUCAGUACACUUUGGCUCCCAGGAUUGGUUGGGGACCAGACACCUUUUAUUUAAUGCUAUUUAUUCUAUCAGAUCCUUUGUCAUGUGUGUAUAUUGUAUGGGAAGAGGUCAGUUGUAUGUGUUUUUAAAGAAAUGUAUUGCUCAUAUUUUUGGGAGUUGAUGACUAAGCUUGAACUCUUGGUUUCCCAGAUUUCUAGGCCUUGUCUACACAUCUAGAGUUAACCUAGAUUGACUUCUUCUCCCAUGUCUAAAAAUGUUAAUACAGGGUGAUUGGUUGGGAGUUGCAUCAUUUAUACGGUUGAUUUUCCGUUUUUGUACCUUUGUUUAGUUAACCUAUUGCAUAAACUGUUUUGAUUUUGUAAGAGAAAUAAAUAAUUAUUCCUGCUGCUGAAGGAUUUUGACAUUUUUGCGUACCGUUUUGUCGAACACACAAAAGUUGUCACUCGUGACAUCUAUCUAACUUAUUCUUAUUUCUCAAACACACAAAAGUUGUCACUUGUGACAUCUAUCUAUCUAUCUAUCUAUCUAUCUAUCUGUCUGUCUGUCUAUGAAUCUUAUUUCUCACACAAAGGUUGUCACUUGUGACAUCUAUCUAUCUGUCUACCUAUCUUAUUCUUAUUUCUCAAACACACAAAAGUUGUCACUUGUGACAUCUAUCUAUCUAUCUAUCUAUCUAUCUAUCUAUCUAUGAAUCUUAUUCUUAUUUCUCAAACACACAAAGGUUGUCACUCGUGACAUCUAUCUAUCUAUACACAAAAUAAAUGUGAAAAUAUGUAUGUAUGUGUGUGGCUAGGGUGUCCACUUACACAGACAAGCUCCCACUUCCACAAACAACUAUAGCUCCCACUACACAGGAGACACCAAUGACUCACCAGCGUGGGAGCUAUAGUUCACCCUACAGCCAGAGAGCACACUGAACCCCAUCCAGAGCAAACUUGCCCAACAUCACAAACUUUAGGUACUGACGGAGUUUCUUGUGGUUAACCUGGCAUGAUGGGAGUUGUAGUUCACCCACAACCUUAUGCAUUGGGUGCAAUUAAAAACUGACUUUUUCAAAUGACGCAGGUCACACUGGGUACCCAAAUUAGUAUAAUUCAUGCACUUAGGAUGCAGACAACCUCCUGUAAACUAUGUGCUAUUUCUUUCCUCACCACUUUGGGGCGAUCAAGCCGUGCGAUUUUCUCUUGCAAGGAGGCUUUGCUAAUUCCCAGCUCUCCUUACAGCCAGCAUAUUAAUUUCCACAUUAUGUCAGAAUUAAAGAAAGUCAUAGUAUAUUUCAAAUGGUGUCAUAGACUCAUGGUGAGUCUAUCGUUUGAUGCUGGGAGUUGUAGUCCGGCGCCUUUAGCCUUCUCUUGGGCAAGAAAACUACAAUUAAAUUGAUGCUUCAGUGCAGAUGGAGCCAAAUUUCUUUUCUGGGAGUUGUAGUUCUCCCACAGCCAGGGGAACGGUGGCCUCCACCGAUGAUGGACUUGGACCAAACUUGGCAUCCAGAACCCCAUCGUGGAGGGGUUGGAGGGGACUGACUCACCAGAGUGGGAGUUGUAGUUCUCCCACAGC
rnacentral:lncRNA from 1 species